AGUCUGAUCAUGGCUCAGAUUGAACGCUGGCGGGAUGCUUACACAUGCAAGUCGAACGGCAGCACGGACUUCGGUCUGGUGGCGAGUGGCGAACGGGUGAGUAAUGUAUCGGAACGUGCCUAGUAGCGGGGGAUAACUACGCGAAAGCGUAGCCAAUACCGCAUACGCCCUUCGGGGAAAGCGGGGGACCUCUUCGGGCCUCGCACUAUUAGAGCGGCCGAUAUCGGGAUUAGCCAGUUGGUGGGGUAACGGCUCACCAAGGCGACGAUCCGUAGCUGGUUUGAGAGGACGACCAGCCACACUGGGACUGAGACACGGCCCAGACUCCUACGGGAGGCAGCAGUGGGGGGAAUUUUGACAAUGGGGGAAACCCCUGAUCCAGCCAUCCCGCGUGUGCGAUGAAGGCCUUCGGGUUGUAGCACUUUUUGGCAGGAAAGAAACGGCACGGGAUAAUACCCCGUGCAACUGACGGUACCUGCAGAAUAAGCACCUGGCUAACUACGUGCCAGCAGCCGCGGUAAUACGUAGGGUGCAAGCGUUAAUCGGAAUUACUGGGCGUAAAAGCGUGCGCAGGCGGUUCGGAAAGAAAGAUGUGAAAUCCCAGAGCUUAACUUUGAACUGCAUUUUUAACUACCGAGCUAGAGAAGCCAGAGGGAGGUGGAAUUCCGCGUAGCAGUGAAAUGCGUAGAUAUGCGGAGAACACCGAUGGCGAAGGCAGCCUCCUGGGAUAACACUGACGCUCAUGCACGAAAGCGUGGGGAGCAAACAGGAUUAGAUACCCUGGUAGUCCACGCCCUAAACGAUGUCAACUAGCUGUUGGGGCCUUCGGGCCUUGGUAGCGCAGCUAACGCGUGAAGUUGACCGCCUGGGGAGUACGGUCGCAAGAUUAAAACUCAAAGGAAUUGACGGGGACCCGCACAAGCGGUGGAUGAUGUGGAUUAAUUCAUGCAACGAAAACCUUACCUACUCCGACAUGUCUGGAAUCCCGAAGAGAUUUGGGAGGCUCAAGAGAACCGAACACAGGGUGCUGUAUGGCUGUCGUCAGUCGCCGGAGAGCGGGUUAAGUCCCGCAACGAGCGCAACCCUUGUCAUUAGUUGCUACGAAAAGGGCACUCCACGAUGACUGCCGGCAUAAACUGGAGUGAAGUGAUGACGUCAAGUCCUCGAAGAAGUGGUCUUGCGGGUAGGGGCUUCACACGUCAUACAAUGGUCGGGACAGAGGGUCGCCAACCCGCGAGGGGGAGCCAAUCCCAGAAACCCGAUCGUAGUCCGAUCGCAGUCUGCAACUCGACUGCGUGAAGUCGGAAUCGCUAGUAAUCGCGGAUCAGCAUGUCGCGGUGAAUACGUUCCCGGGUCUUGUACACACCGCCUGUCACACCAUGGGAGUGGGUUUUACCAGAAGUAGUUAGCCUAACCGUAAGGAGGGCGAUUACCACGGUAGGAUUCAUGACUGGGGUGUCGUAACAAGGUAA
rnacentral:rRNA from 1 species